UAAAGAGUAGUAGAAUGGGACUACAGGGGGUUUUGAUUCCCCAGAUAUAGGUUCAACUCCUAUUUCUUUAA
rnacentral:tRNA from 1 species